GCGCGCGCGCCGGCCGCUGAUACGUCGGUCUCGUAUUUGUUUACUUAUCGAUUACUCAUUAUAAUAUUGCUUUAUAAAGUAAAUAUACCUAGUUAUAAAGAUGGUUUUAAGUAAACAUCUUGAUAGAAUGACAUUCAACAGUUUUCAGUAUGUUUUACUUAGCUGGAUAGCGCGGUCCAUAACUACAUUAAAAUUAUUUAUACAGUGCAGCGGUGAAGUGGGCGGUGCGCACGCGCCUGUAGCACCGCCUCGCCUCGUCAUUGGCGCGCGCGGCCGCGGCGACCGCUCUGACGUCACACCGCCCGGGUCUUUAUCUCGUGACUACUGGAGAAGCUAGUCCGACCUCUGAUAGCGAGGUUCAUUUUCAGUAUCGAGAUAUCUCCCUGGCCACCUACGAAUCGCUUACAUCUCGUUAUAGCAGGAAUUAUGUUACAAAUCCUUAACUCCAAUUGCGGAUUGAUUAAAAAACAAUAACUUAAGUACGUAGGUACUAUGUAGGGCAUAAUAACACCUUUAGAUCAAGUGUUAACAUCAGGUACGCGUUACGGCCACGUUACAUGAUCGACGGUCCACUAACACACGCAAUUAGUUGCUUUUUAUUAAACCUUCCACUUCGUAGCAAUUAGCACGAUCUAAUUUUGUGCCCACUUCACGCAAUGUAACCGCUAAUUGAGUUGUCAAGAUAUGCGGUAGGAAGGCGAGCUAUCCUCAGCGAGUUAGCAAAACAUGUACCUACUUAGAUACCUAAGUACUUAAACUUAUCGUAUUGUUUUUAAUAAUUAAUUUAUCUACACAGGCAACUGGUGAGCUCCUCAUCUAUACUAAUGUAGAUAAUAUGAAGAAACA